rnacentral:rRNA from 1 species
UACGGAGGGAGCUAGCGUUGUUCGGAAUUACUGGGCGUAAAGCGCACGUAGGCGGAUUGGAAAGUUGGGGGUGGAAUCCCCAGGGCUCAACCCUGGAACUGCCUCCAAAACUCCCAGUCUGGAGUUCGAGAGAGGUGAGUGGAAUUCCGAGUGUAGAGGUGAAAUUCGUAGAUAUUCGGAGGAACACCGAGUGGCGAAGGCGGCUCACUGGCUCGAUACUGACGCUGAGGUGCGAAAGUGUGGGGGAGCAAACAGG